AUAGUGAAAGACGGCCUUGCUGUCACUUAUAGAUGGAUCCGCGCCGUAUUAGCUAGUUGGUAAGGUAACGGCUUACCAAGGCAACGAUACGUAGCCGACCUGAGAGGGUGAUCGGCCACACUGGAACUGAGACACGGUCCAGACUCCUACGGGAGGCAGCAGUAGGGAAUCUUCCGCAAUGGGCGAAAGCCUGACGGAGCAACGCCGCGUGAGUGAUGAAGGUCUUCGGAUCGUAAAACUCUGUUAUCAGGGAAGAACAAACGUGUAAGUAACUGUGCACGUCUUGACGGUACCUGAUCAGAAAGCCACGGCUAACUACGUGCCAGCAGCCGCGGUAAUACGUAGGUGGCAAGCGUUAUCCGGAAUUAUUGGGCGUAAAGCGCGCGUAGGCGGUUUUUUAAGUCUGAUGUGAAAGCCCACGGCUCAACCGUGGAGGGUCAUUGGAAACUGGAAAACUUGAGUGCAGAAGAGGAAAGUGGAA
rnacentral:rRNA from 1 species